UCCGUAGGUGAACCUGCGGAAGGAUCAUUAUUGAA
rnacentral:rRNA from 5 species